rnacentral:sRNA from 1 species
UGCUAUUAAUGUGCCUGUUCAGUUGUGC